rnacentral:rRNA from 1 species
UAAGGAAUAUUGGUCAAUGCCCGCAAGGGUGAACCAGCCAUCCCGCGUGCAGGAAGAAGGGGCUCUGCCUUGUAAACUGCUUUUGCAUGGGACGAAAAAAGGGGAUUUAUCCUCGACUGACGGUACCAUGAGAAUAAGCACCGGCUAACUCCGUGCCAGCAGCCGCGGUAAUACGGAGGGUGCGAGCGUUAUCCGGAAUCACUGGGUUUAAAGGGUGCGUAGGCGGUUAUAUAAGUCAGUGGUGAAAGGC